CCUACGGGUGGCAGCAGUGAGGAAUAUUGGUCAAUGGGCGCAAGCCUGAACCAGCCAAGCCGCGUGCAGGAAGACGGCCCUAUGAGUUGUAAACUUCUUUUUUCCGGGAAUAAAUCCAGGUACGUGUCUCUGUUUGUAUGUACCUUAUGAAUACGGAUCGGCUAACUCCGUGCCAGCCGCCGCGGUAAUACGGAGGAUCCAAGCGUUAUCCGGAUUUAUUGGGUUUAAAGGGUGCGUAGGCGGGCUGUUAAGUUAGUGGUGAAAGCCCGCGGCUCAACCGCAGCAGUGCAUUUGAUACUGGCGGGCUUGAGUUCAGAUGAGGUAGGCGGAAUGCAUGGUGUAGCGGUGAAAUGCUUAGAGAUCACGCAGAACACCGAUUGCGAAGGCAGCUUACUAAACUGCGACUGACGUUGAGGCACGAAAGCGUGGGUAGCAAACAGGAUUAGAUACCCUAGUAGUC
rnacentral:rRNA from 1 species